rnacentral:rRNA from 1 species
CUUGCACGGGUACUCGAGUGGCGAACGGGUGAGUAACACGUGGGUGAUCUGCCCUUCACUUCGGGAUAAGCCUGGGAAACUGGGUCUAAUACUGGAUAGGACCAUCGUUUAGUGUCGGUGGUGGAAAGUUUUUUCGGUGGAGGAUGAGCUCGCGGCCUAUCAGCUUGUUGGUGGGGUAAUGGCCUACCAAGGCGACGACGGGUAGCCGGCCUGAGAGGGUGGACGGCCACAUUGGGACUGAGACACGGCCCAG